rfam:Ipomoea nil DNA, scaffold: scaffold0780, cultivar: Tokyo-kokei standard.
GCAUUUGUAGACCAACGGUUAGGAUAAUUGCCUUCCAAGCAAUAAACCUUGGUUCGACUCCCGGCAAACGCA